rnacentral:rRNA from 1 species
GACGAACGCUGGCGGCGUGCUUAACACAUGCAAGUCGAACGGAAAGGCCCCUUUGGGGGUCCUCGAGUGGCGAACGGGUGAGUAACACGUGAGUAACCUGCCCUUGACUUCGGGAUAACUUCAGGAAACUGGGGCUAAUACCGGAUAGGAAUCCUUGCUGCAUGGUGGGGGUUGGAAAGCUUCGGCGGUUUUGGAUGGACUCGCGGCUUAUCAGCUUGUUGGUGGGGUAGUGGCUUACCAAGGCUUUGACGGGUAGCCGGCCUGAGAGGGCGACCGGCCACAUUGGGACUGAGAUACGGCCCAGACUCCUACGGGAGGAAGCAGUGGGGAAUAUUGCACAAGGGGCGGAAGCCUGAUGCAGCAACGCCGCGUGCGGGAUGACGGCCUUCGGGUUGUAAACCGCUUUCAGCAGGGGCGAAGCUUGUGGUGACGGUACCUGCAGAAGAAGCACCGGCUAACUACGUG